rnacentral:rRNA from 1 species
UACGGAGGGGGCGAGCGUUAUUCGGAAUUAUUGGGCGUAAAGGGCGCGUAGGCGGCCUUGUAAGUCAAAGGUGAAAUCCCUCGGCUCAACUGAGGAACUGCCUUUGAAACUGCAAGGCUUGAGGCCGGGAGGGGGUAGCGGAAUUCCCAAUGUAGCGGUGGAAAUGCGUAGAUAUUGGGAGGAACACCAGUGGCGAAGGCGGCUACCUGGACCGGUUCGUGACGCUGAUGCGCGAAAGCGUGGGUAGCAAACCGG